GCUCCAGUGGCGCAAUCGGUUAGUGCGCGGUACUUAUAAUGCCGAGGUUGUGAGUUCGAGCCUCACCUGGAGCA